rnacentral:lncRNA from 1 species
GGUGGAAUUUUUUUGGCAGCCGCCGGAGAUGUUAUUUUAUUUACUUUCCUUCUGCAUGCAUGGAUUUGGAGCGGCACCAGCUCCCUUAGGAUCACCCUGACCAGACCCACUCGGAAGAGAAGCGGAGGAAGAUGAGGAUGGGGUGCUGAGAGGCUCUCCAGUCAACUUGACUUUUGCAUCAGUGUCUUGUUAACGUCGCAGAUAAUUUUCCCCUGGAAAUAACCAGAAAAAUCUGCUUGGGCCAAAACAGUUCAAGAGUUUAGAAAAAUGAGGAAAGGAUGGGGCCCUCGGCUUCCUUUGUGAGCAUGUGAUCCUGGUGUCAGUCCCUGGCAUCUCCCAUCCCUAUGGGGAAAAGAAAAUGUUUGG